AUUGAACGCUGGCGGCAUGCUUUACACAUGCAAGUCGAACGGCAGCACGGGGGCAACCCUGGUGGCGAGUGGCGAACGGGUGAGUAAUACAUCGGAACGUAUCCUUUAGUGGGGGAUAACGCAGCGAAAGUUGUGCUAAUACCGCAUAAGCUCUGAGGAGGAAAGCGGGGGACCGAAAGGCCUCGCGCUGAAGGAGCGGCCGAUGUCCGAUUAGCUAGUUGGUGAGGUAAAGGCUCACCAAGGCGACGAUCGGUAGCUGGUCUGAGAGGAUGAUCAGCCACACUGGGACUGAGACACGGCCCAGACUCCUACGGGAGGCAGCAGUGGGGAAUUUUGGACAAUGGGGGCAACCCUGAUCCAGCCAUGCCGCGUGAGUGAAGAAGGCCUUCGGGUUGUAAAGCUCUUUCGUGGGGAACGAAACGGUUACGGUGAAUAUCCGUG
rnacentral:rRNA from 1 species